rnacentral:rRNA from 1 species
CGCAUCUGUGCAUGCAGCAUAUCAAUAAGCGGAGGAAAAGAAACUAACAAGGAUUCCCCUAGUAACGGCGAGUGAAGCGGGAAGAGCUCAAAUUUGAAAUCUUAAAGGGUUUCCCUUUACGAAUUGUAGUUUAAAGAAGUGUUUUCUGUUGAGGUUUUGGUAAAAGUUCUUUGGAAUAGGACAUCAUAGAGGGUGAGAAUCCCGUAUUUGACCUUUACUUUCAACUUUGUGAUACACUUUCAAAGAGUCGGAUUGUUUGGGAAUGCAGUCCAAAAUGGGUGGUAAAUUUCAUCUAAAGCUAAAUAUUGGCGAGAGACCGAUAGCGAACAAGUACCGUGAGGGAAAGAUGAAAAGAACUUUGAAAAGAGAGUUAAACAGUACGUGAAAUUGUCAAAAGGGAAGCGUUUGACACCAGUGUUGUUUUUCUGAAAAUCAAUUAAAGAACUGUUUAUGCUAAGUUGUUUAGACUUUAUCAGCUAACUGUUUAGUUUUGAGCUUUUCUUUAACGCACUUUUCAGUUAACAAGUCAACAUCAAUUUCUUUUGCUGUAAAAAAGCUUGAGGAAGGUGGCUUGAGAUUCGUCUUAAGUGUUUAUAGCCUCUUGCCUAUGCAGUCGGAGAGAUUGAGGUCUGCAGCGUAGAUCCUUCGGGGCUAAAUGCAUUUGUGCUAAGUUAUAGCAUUUUAUAGACAACUUGUUGACUAUGAUUUGUCUUGUAGCUUACUCGCUUAUGUUAUUUUACCUACGCUUAGGAUGUUGACAGCAGUAUAGACUGU